AGUAAAAUGGUGUAAUGGCACAUAAAAAUUUGGGUUUUAAAGAAGUUAAUCAAUUAGCUUUUUACUA